UUCGGCAUGCGCGCCAAUUCACGAUAGUUUUUCGUCCGUGUGUGCCGUGAGCCGGUUGAAAGGUCGAGGAUUCAUUCUAGUUUCUUCCUUAGACAAGCAAACAUCUUCCACGGCGAUUCUUCUGUUCGCAAUCAGGAUGCAGUGGCGCAUUUUAUUACUUUUCGCUUUAGCUAUCGUUUGUUGUUUCGUGAUUGAACCAGGCGAAGCUAAUCGUCAACCGAUCUUUGUCAAACAUCAAACUACUACGCCUCGUUACAAUAGGAAGCAAGUAGCCAUGGCUCCCAGUCGUAGUUGUCCUACGGGACAUUUGUUGGAUAAAAACGGCAUCUGCAGAAUGAUAUGGCUUGGGUGAAUAUAAUAAAAAGCGAACAAUCAAUCAGCCGUCUGCGGCUACGCUCGAUUGUUUGAAAAAAAAAUGCACACACGCCCUCAUGCAUAAUGAACGCCCGAGACUUUCGCCAAUCUAAAAAUACCGAAGAGGAAAGACCUACAUAAUCGUAUUGGAAGCUGUUCGUCCUUGAUUUUUUUUGCGCAAGUUGAAAAUACACGAUAAAUAUACUAUUAAUAAAAA